CCCUGGCUGGUCCAAUAGUCAGGCCUCAGCAUUUUCACUGCUGAGGCCCUGGGUUCAAUCCCUGGUGGGGGA
rnacentral:tRNA from 1 species